AGUGCUUGAUGGAUUCAUUUUCACUCACACUGCAUUUAUGCCUUUCACAUGCAGUAAUGUAUUCAGUGAAACUAGCUUCUUUCACUCUACAGUACCUCCUUUUCUUGGAACAAGCAAAGGGAAGGGAUACUUCAACCAUUAAGAGAGUACUUAAGGUACUUUAGGGUACUUUGAUGAGAAGCGAAACGGCAUCAAAGAAAAACCAGAAAGUCCAGUUGCCUUCAGAAAAAGCACCUUUGGGACAACCAUGAUCUGGAUGACUGAGAAGAACUCUGAUUCAUACACAUGUGAUUCUGUUGCCAGUCUAUCAACAGCCUGGAGACACGUCUGUGCAUCAAUAGAACAACCAAUAAACAAUGAAGUAUUCCAGUGUCAAUGAACAAUGAAGUUGUCAUCAAUGUAGGAAAGAAAUUUCCUACCAUUUUCUUCUGUUUAUGUGCAAUAUAUUGCAAGUUAUAAGUAAAUUGAAUCAGAAUGCAGAGAGAAACAUUGGAAAAAGUCACAAAUCAUUAAACAUUAGGGUAACAAUAAGUGAGUUAUAAAUAAAUAAUGUUUAUUUUUGAGUUUUAUACCAAGGUCAAACAUUUUAGAAGUCCUCUGAUAUCUUAGUAUGCCAUCACUUGAAAAUAAACUUUCAAACAAACUGUCAUCCACUAAGCUUGCUUUCAAAAUUGAUUCCUGAUGUAUUGCAUGUACCUUGACCGGGCACAAUCUUUCUCAUGUACGUAUCUGUUGUCUGUCUGUCUGUCUGUCUGUCUGUCUGUCUGUCUGUCUGUCUGUCUUUCUUUCUUUCUUUCUUUCUUUCUUUCUUUCUUUCUUUCUUUCUUUCUUUCUUUCUUUCUUUCUUUCUUUCUACUGGCCGAUCUGCCUCUCUGUAUCUCCCACACAGAUUUGAAGUGCUACAUUAACAAAGUACCAUCUGUUCUAAGGGAAAAAAAUAGAAAAAAAUAAAACAAAACACAAUUUUAGUAAUCAUAUGGCAAAAUGGUAGUAGAAAGAAUGUUUUUAUACAACUUUUUCUUUGUUUGAUAGCUUCUAUUCUACUAUCAUAAUUCCUGAUCUGCAAAUUCCAUAUCCUGUUUUUUUUCUUCCUAUUUCUAUGGAUUUUUCUUUAAAAGAACCCUAAAACUCAUCCUAAUUGGCCAACUUAUUCAAUGUAUAUUUAAAUAAAGGAACGGAAUGUGGAACCAGGUGAUUCAUGUUCAAAUCACUCAGGUGCCACUUGGUGACAAUAAAUGACACAUUAUAUCUAAGAGUAGUUUACGCAGAAUAAUUGGAAGACAAAACAAUGGGCAGAAGACUACUAAAUAUGCCUUUUGAAAUGUUUGUUGAACAAUGGAAUGAAAAAUAAACUCAAAUUAAAAGAUGA